rnacentral:rRNA from 1 species
UACAGAGGUCUCAAGCGUUGUUCGGAAUCACUGGGCUUAAAGGGCGCGUAGGCGGGCAAGCAAGUCCGGGGUGAAAUCUUUCGGCCCAACCGGAAAAGGGCCUUGGAUACUGCUUGUCUGGAGGGAGGUAGGGGCAGACGGAACUUCCGGUGGAGCGGUGAAAUGCGUUGAUAUCGGAAGGAACGCCGGUGGCGAAAGCGGUCUGCUGGACCUCUACUGACGCUGAGGCGCGAAAGCCAGGGGAGCGAACGGG